rnacentral:piRNA from 1 species
CGGCCGGGUGUGGUGGCGCACUCCUUUA